rnacentral:rRNA from 1 species
GGCUCAGGAUGAACGCUAGCGGCAGGCUUAACACAUGCAAGUCGAGGGGCAGCAUGACACUGAGAUUCGUCGAAGUGUUGAUGGCGACCGGCGCAAGGGUGCGUAACGCGUGAGCAACUUGCCCGUUUCUGGGGCAUAACCGGUGGAAACGCCGACUAAUACCCCAUAGUAUUGGAUUUAGGCAUCUUUAUCCAAUUAAAGAUUUAUCGGUAACGGAUGAGGAUGCGUACGAUUAGCUGGUUGGCGGGGUAACGGCCCACCAAGGCGACGAUCGUUAGGGGUUCUGAGAGGAAGGUCCCCCACACUGGAACUGAGACACGGUCCAGACUCCUACGGGAGGCAGCAGUGAGGAAUAUUGGUCAAUGGUCGAGAGACUGAACCAGCCAAGUAGCGUGAAGGAUGACUGCCCUACGGGUUGUAAACUUCUUUUGUUUGGGAAUAAAUGAUACUACGUGUAGUAUUUUGCAUGUACCUUACGAAUAAGCAUCGGCUAAUUCCGUG